rnacentral:tRNA from 1 species
AGGGCUGUGGCUCAGUGGUAACAGUGCUUGCCUGGUAUGUAUGAGGCACUGGGUUCGAUUCUCAGCACUAUA